AAAAGAUGGGGCCUUGUAGGAAAAAGUUAGGUCAUGGGGUGGGACUCUGGCCCAUUUCUUCCUUUCUUUGUUUCUCAGCUGUCAUGAGGUAAACAGGCCUCCUUUGCUAUGUGCUCCUGUAAUAAUGUACUGUGCUGCCACAGGCCAAAAGGGACAGGGCCAAGUCACCAUGGACUGAAACCUCUGAAAGCAUAAGUCAAAAUAAACCUUUCCUCCUUAAAAGUUGAUUACUUCUGAUUACUUCUAUUUGUCAUAGUGACAGAAAGUUAACACAGUCCCUCCGCCAAUCCCUUUUUAAGUGGACAUGGUCUGGUGAAAGAUGAGGACUUUUCCAAAGCAAUUCUCUAUAAGAACUAGUUAUCUUUGCUUUAAUCAAGUAAUUUCCAAAAUCCUGAAUUCUUUAUUAAAUUUUCAUAAUCAAUAUCCUCAUGUAACAUUUUAUUUUAUCAUUUGGACCUCUUCAUUAUGGCAUAGUAUAUGUGCACUUAAUUCUUCAAGAGCAGAAUCUCUUCCCUUGGGGACAGAGCUCUGGCUUUAGAGAUAGACAGAUUUCAGACAGAAUCCUCCUUUUACCUUUCACUAACUAUGAGGCCUUAAUCAAGCUGCUUGGGACCUUCAUAUCUUCAUCUGCAAUGUAGAAAUAAAAUACCUACCCUCAUUGUGGCAGGGAUUAAAUGAAACAAUCUAUGUGAACAGACUUGCCUGAUAUGCAGAGAAUAUGUACUAAAAGCAACUGCACAGAGUUGAGACAUACCCAGGCGCAGGUUUUCUUUGAUUUCCAUGGUCUUUUGAAAAGACUCAAGUUCAUUUCUUUGACCCCUUCCCUGACUUUCCUUGGUAGCAAUAAAUACUUCAUAUCCACUGAUGGCAUAAGACCUGAAACAUGUCCUUUCUUUAGCACUAAAAAGAUCAUGUGCUUCUUUAUUUAGCUGGGGUUUUUUUUUGGUGGGGGGUGGGGGGAUACCAGGGAUUGAACUCACAGGCACUGACCACUAAGCCACAUCCACAGCCCUUUUUUGUAUUUUAUUUAGAGACACGGUCUCACUGAGUUGCUUAGCACCUCACCAUUGCUGAAGCUGGCUUUGAACUCCCAAUCCCCCUGUCUCAGCCUCUGGAGCCCUGGGAUUUCAGGCAUGUGCUACUGUGCCCCGCCCCUAGCUAUUUUUUUAAAACUUUAUUUACUUUGUUUAUUUAUUUG
rnacentral:lncRNA from 1 species